CCGCGGCAGCUGCUGUUCCUGCUGCACCAUCUGUUCAGGCAAACCCGGUCGGUCCGCUGGGCGGCGAGUGUCGUAGACUUGUCGGCGCCGGACCACGUGAGCGCGGCGCGCGUCAUCGCGCUGCUAGACGUGCUGCUCACGCGCCCGCCGCUCGAGUGCGCCGUGGAGUGCACUGAAGAUAAAGACGAAGAAUGGGAAGAGGUGGGCAAAGAUGGCGGCGGCGGCGCCGUGAGCGACGGCUCGCUGCGGGAGCGGGACAUGCUGGCGCUGCUGCGCGCCUUCCC